rnacentral:lncRNA from 1 species
GGUAAAUUUAAGUAAAUGAAAUACUACAACACCCUACACUGUGGUUUUCAAGAAUCUGCCACCCGAUGACCCCUUUAAUAUGCAUAUACACUAUUAAGAAGCGAACAUAAAACCUGAAUUCAUUGUGAUUUGAUCUGACCGUGGUUGAUGCUCGUUGUUCUGCUCCAGGUAGUGAUUUUUGGCACCAAGAUGGAACCGUGGAUGCGCAGCACAGGCCUCAUCAAUUUGCCAAUCAAGCUGGCUGAGAAUAGAAAGUGAUGGAGCUGUCAGUAGCAGUUCAACCAUAAGCAAUUCUAAACUAAGCAAUUUGGAAAUUUAAAUAGUUAUAAUGACCAAGAAUCUCUACGUUGGCCCUUAAUUACUGGAAUGUCAAUUCAGCUGAAAAUUGCCUUUCCCAGAAGGCCAACGGCACCCUGUGGCUGUGGGAACAGAACAGCCAUUCUUCAUUCCCCUCUGCCAGUUGGAGUGGAGCAAACUUUGCCUUCUGUCUCCGGAUGAGUAAUAUGGAAUUCCGGGUAAACCAGGAGAAAGCGGCACAAUCACACCCACUGGAAAAGUCUGUCACAGACAGAGGGAAUUCGGGUGCCCGUGCAUCUCAAUUCACACAAGUUCAAAUCAUUUACUAAUCCUGGCAAAGUGUCCUGUGCCCUAAGGCACUAUUACACCUCUCUGGACACCACGGCCAAUCCAUGGCGUUGUUUUGCACACAAAAAAAAGAAGAAAAGGAUCCCUUUAUUGGUUUGAAAAGGGGAGAGCCUUUCUUCCACGCUGCCUUCUUGACCACAGCUCCUUCCCUCACCGGCCUGAGGCGCUGAACAUAUCCCUAGAUGCCGUUCCCCCACAUCUGUAACAGCUGCAUAGGGGCUGCAGUCUUAUUCUCCCAGUCAGAACUGUUUCUUACUACUUUGGAUGCAACUUGCUCACUCUCUCUCCCCGCUCCUGAUUCUUGACUUGCACACAAUGAAAUAGUAGGGGCCUUAGGCACUUUUCAAAAAAAAAAAGAAACAGCCCUCAAUAAAUCCCCUUAAGGGACCA